rnacentral:rRNA from 1 species
GACGAACCGUGCGAACGUUGUUCGGAAUCACUGGGCUUAAAGGGCGCGUAGGCGGGCUGCCAAGUCCGGGGUGAAAUCUUUCGGCUCAACCGGAAAAUAGCCUCGGAGACUGGCGGUCUGGAGUGAGGUAGGGGCAGCUGGAACUUCCGGUGGAGCGGUGAAAUGCGUUGAUAUCGGAAGGAACGCCGGUGGCGAAGGCGGGUCUCUGGGCCUUACCUGACGCUGAGGAGCGAAAGCGUGGGGAGCGAACAGG